GGUUAAGCGACUAAGCGUACACGGUGGAUGCCCUGGCAGUCAGAGGCGAUGAAGGACGUGCUAAUCUGCGAAAAGCGUCGGUAAGGUGAUAUGAACCGUUAUAACCGGCGAUGUCCGAAUGGGGAAACCCAGUGUGAUUCGUCACACUAUCGUUAACUGAAUACAUAGGUUAACGAGGCGAACCGGGGGAACUGAAACAUCUAAGUACCCCGAGGAAAAGAAAUCAACCGAGAUUCCCCCAGUAGCGGCGAGCGAACGGGGAGCAGCCCAGAGUCUGAAUCAGCUUGUGUGUUAGUGGAACGGUCUGGAAAGUCCGACGGUACAGGGUGAUAGUCCCGUACACCAAAAUGCACAGGUUGUGAACUCGAAGAGUAGGGCGGGACACGUGGUAUCCUGUCUGAAUAUGGGGGGACCAUCCUCCAAGGCUAAAUACUCCUGACUGACCGAUAGUGAACCAGUACCGUGAGGGAAAGGCGAAAAGAACCCCGGCGAGGGGAGUGAAAAAGAACCUGAAACCGUGUACGUACAAGCAGUGGGAGCACCUUCGGGUGUGACUGCGUACCUUUUGUAUAAUGGGUCAGCGACUUAUAUUCUGUAGCAAGGUUAACCGUAUAGGGGAGCCGCAGGGAAACCGAGUCUUAACUGGGCGUUAAGUUGCAGGGUAUAGACCCGAAACCCGGUGAUCUAGCCAUGGGCAGGUUGAAGGUUGGGUAACACUAACUGGAGGACCGAACCGACUAAUGUUGAAAAAUUAGCGGAUGACUUGUGGCUGGGGGUGAAAGGCCAAUCAAACCGGGAGAUAGCUGGUUCUCCCCGAAAGCUAUUUAGGUAGCGCCUCGUGAAUUCAUCUUCGGGGGUAGAGCACUGUUUCGGCUAGGGGGUCAUCCCGACUUACCAACCCGAUGCAAACUACGAAUACCGAAGAAUGUUAUCACGGGAGACACACGGCGGGUGCUAACGUCCGUCGUGAAGAGGGAAACAACCCAGACCGCCAGCUAAGGUCCCAAAGUCAUGGUUAAGUGGGAAACGAUGUGGGAAGGCACAGACAGCCAGGAUGUUGGCUUAGAAGCAGCCAUCAUUUAAAGAAAGCGUAAUAGCUCACUGGUCGAGUCGGCCUGCGCGGAAGAUGUAACGGGGCUAAACCAUGCACCGAAGCUGCGGCAGCGACACUAUGUGUUGUUGGGUAGGGGAGCGUUCUGUAAGCCUGCGAAGGUGACCUGUGAGGGUUGCUGGAGGUAUCAGAAGUGCGAAUGCUGACAUAAGUAACGAUAAAGCGGGUGAAAAGCCCGCUCGCCGGAAGACCAAGGGUUCCUGUCCAACGUUAAUCGGGGCAGGGUGAGUCGACCCCUAAGGCGAGGCCGAAAGGCGUAGUCGAUGGGAAACAGGUUAAUAUUCCUGUACUUGGUGUUACUGCGAAGGGGGGACGGAGAAGGCUAUGUUAGCCGGGCGACGGUUGUCCCGGUUUAAGCAUGUAGGCUGGUUGUCCAGGCAAAUCCGGAUAAUCAAGGCUGAGGUGUGAUGACGAGGUACUACGGUGCUGAAGUAACAAAUGCCCUGCUUCCAGGAAAAGCCUCUAAGCAUCAGGUAACAUUAAAUCGUACCCCAAACCGACACAGGUGGUCAGGUAGAGAAUACCAAGGCGCUUGAGAGAACUCGGGUGAAGGAACUAGGCAAAAUGGUGCCGUAACUUCGGGAGAAGGCACGCUGGUGUGUAGGUGAAGUCCCUGCGGAUGGAGCUGAGACCAGUCGAAGAUACCAGCUGGCUGCAACUGUUUAUUAAAAACACAGCACUGUGCAAACACGAAAGUGGACGUAUACGGUGUGACGCCUGCCCGGUGCCGGAAGGUUAAUUGAUGGGGUUAUCCGUAAGGAGAAGCUCUUGAUCGAAGCCCCGGUAAACGGCGGCCGUAACUAUAACGGUCCUAAGGUAGCGAAAUUCCUUGUCGGGUAAGUUCCGACCUGCACGAAUGGCGUAAUGAUGGCCAGGCUGUCUCCACCCGAGACUCAGUGAAAUUGAACUCGCUGUGAAGAUGCAGUGUACCCGCGGCAAGACGGAAAGACCCCGUGAACCUUUACUAUAGCUUGACACUGAACAUUGAGCCUUGAUGUGUAGGAUAGGUGGGAGGCUUUGAAGCGUGGACGCCAGUCUGCGUGGAGCCAACCUUGAAAUACCACCCUUUAAUGUUUGAUGUUCUAACGUUGGCCCCUUACCGGGGUUGCGGACAGUGUCUGGUGGGUAGUUUGACUGGGGCGGUCUCCUCCCAAAGCGUAACGGAGGAGCACGAAGGUUAGCUAAUCCUGGUCGGACAUCAGGAGGUUAGUGCAAUGGCAUAAGCUAGCUUGACUGCGAGCGUGACGGCGCGAGCAGGUGCGAAAGCAGGUCAUAGUGAUCCGGUGGUUCUGAAUGGAAGGGCCAUCGCUCAACGGAUAAAAGGUACUCCGGGGAUAACAGGCUGAUACCGCCCAAGAGUUCAUAUCGACGGCGGUGUUUGGCACCUCGAUGUCGGCUCAUCACAUCCUGGGGCUGAAGUAGGUCCCAAGGGUAUGGCUGUUCGCCAUUUAAAGUGGUACGCGAGCUGGGUUUAGAACGUCGUGAGACAGUUCGGUCCCUAUCUGCCGUGGGCGCUGGAGAAUUGAGGGGGGCUGCUCCUAGUACGAGAGGACCGGAGUGGACGCAUCACUGGUGUUCGGGUUGUCAUGCCAAUGGCACUGCCCGGUAGCUAAAUGCGGAAGAGAUAAGUGCUGAAAGCAUCUAAGCACGAAACUUGCCCCGAGAUGAGUUCUCCCUGAGACUUUAAGUCUCCUGAAGGAACGUUAAAGACGAUGACGUUGAUAGGCCGGGUGUGUAAGCGCAGCGAUGCGUUGAGCUAACCGGUACUAAUGAACCGUGAGGCUUAACCUU
rnacentral:rRNA from 1 species